CCUCUGGAGAGCUAAAGAUUUGCCUCGACAUCCUAUGGGAAGGAAGAGAAGCCAUCUUGCAAGAGUGGUGAGAUCCAAAAUAAGAAAGUAGAAGCAAGGAUGAAAGCAAGAGGCAAACAGAUCAGUCAGAUGGAGCAACUAUGGGACCCUUGGGAUAUUUUUCCACAUAAAGAUCAUUCAGGAGAACUUUGACCACCAGACCUCCAGAA